rnacentral:rRNA from 1 species
AGCGAACGCUGGCGGCAGGCCUAACACAUGCAAGUCGAACGAACUCUUCGGAGUUAGUGGCGGACGGGUGAGUAACACGUGGGAACGUGCCUUUAGGUUCGGAAUAACUCAGGGAAACUUGUGCUAAUACCGAAUGUGCCCCCCGAUUCAUUUUGGGGUGGGAAAGAUUUAUCGCCUUUAGAGCGGCCCGCGUCUGAUUAGCUAGUUGGUGAGGUAAAGGCUCACCAAGGCGACGAUCAGUAGCUGGUCUGAGAGGAUGAUCAGCCACAUUGGGACUGAGACACGGCCCAAACUCCUACGGGAGGCAGCAGUGGGGAAUCUUGCGCAAUGGGCGAAAGCCUGACGCAGCCAUGCCGCGUGAAUGAUGAAGGUCUUAGGAUUGUAAAAUUCUUUCACCGGGGACGAUAAUGACGGUACCCGGAGAAGAAGCCCCGGCUAACUUCGUGCCAGCAGCCGCGGUAAUACGAAGGGGGCUAGCGUUGCUCGGAAUUACUGGGCGUAAAGGGAGCGUAGGCGGACAUUUAAGUCAGGGGUGAAAUCCCGGGGCUCAACCUCGGAAUUGCCUUUGAUACUGGGUGUCUUGAGUAUGAGAGAGGUGUGUGGAACUCCGAGUGUAGAGGUGAAAUUCGUAGAUAUUCGGAAGAACACCAGUGGCGAAGGCGACACACUGGCUCAUUACUGACGCUGAGGCUCGAAAGCGUGGGGGAGCAAACAGG